UAUUUAUAUAAUAUAAAAAUUAUAUUUGACUUCCAAUCAAAAAAUCUAAAUAAAAUUUAGUAUAAAU
rnacentral:tRNA from 1 species